CAGUCGCCGCGGUAAAACGGAGGGAGCUAGCGUUGUUCGGAAUUACUGGGCGUAAAGCGCGCGUAGGCGGUUACUCAAGUCAGAGGUGAAAGCCCGGGGCUCAACCCCGGAACUGCCUUUGAAACUAGGUGACUAGAAUCUUGGAGAGGUCAGUGGAAUUCCGAGUGUAGAGGUGAAAUUCGUAGAUAUUCGGAAGAACACCAGUGGCGAAGGCGACUGACUGGACAAGUAUUGACGCUGAGGUGCGAAAGCGUGGGGAGCAAACAGGAUUAGAUACCCGCGUAGUCCCUGUCUCUUAUAC
rnacentral:rRNA from 1 species